UAGUUGGUGAGGUAAUGGCUCACCAAGGCGACGAUAGGUAGCCGGCCUGAGAGGGUGAACGGCCACAAGGGGACUGAGACACGGCCCUUACUCCUACGGGAGGCAGCAGUGGGGAAUAUUGGACAAUGGACCAAGAGUCUGAUCCAGCAAUUCUGUGUGUUUGAUGAAGGCCUUCGGGUUGUAAAGAACUUUAAGUAGGGAAGAAGAAAGUGACGGUACCUACAGAAUAAGCGACGGCUAAAUACGUGCCAGCAGCCGCGGUAAUACGUAUGUCGCAAGCGUUAUCCGGAAUUAUUGGGCAUAAAGCGCGUCUAGGCGGUUUAUUAAGUCUGAUGUGAAAAUGCGGGGCUCAACUCCGUAUUGCGUUGGAAACUGGUAGACUAGAGUAUUGGAGAGGUAGGCGGAACUACAAGUGUAGAGGUGAAAUUCGUAGAUAUUUGUAGGAAUGCCAAUUGGGAAGCCAGCUUACUGGACAAAUACUGACGCUGAAGCGCGAAAGCUAGGGGAGCAAACAGGAUUAGAUACCCUGGUAGUCCUAGCUGUAAACGAUGAUCACUGGGUGUGGGGGGUCGAAC
rnacentral:rRNA from 1 species